UAUAGCCAUGACACCAGAAUGCACCUGACCUUGUCUCAUCUCAGAAGCUAAGCAGGGGCAGGCCUGGUUAGUCUUCGGAUGAGAGACGUGGCGAGCA
rnacentral:rRNA from 1 species